ACCCCCUUUGCCUAUUCUACCUCUGUACGGUCCCUUCGGCGUUGGGCGCACCCCAUGCCGAAGGGCCUUGCUCUCAACCUCUUUGUCGAAAGCCGUCUUCUUCUGAUUUGUGGGUGCACUGAAUGUUACAACUUUCAACAAUGGAUCUCUUGGCUCUGGCAUCGAUGAAGAACGCAGCGAAAUGCGAUAACGUAGUGUGAAUUGCAGAUUCCAGUGAAUCAUCGAAUCUUUGAACGCACAUUGCGCCCCCUGGUAUUCCGAGGGGCAUGCCUGUUCGAGCGUCAUGGACAAACCUCUUCAAGCGCUCUUUGCUUGGUGUUGGGCGGCUGUCCCCUGCGCGCGCGCUUGUAGCGCGUUGUGGGGGGGGACUCGCCUCAAAGGUAUUGGCAGCUGGGCUGUCUUGCGCCCCCUCUUUCUGCGCCGUAGCUUUUGCGCGCAAGCUGGGGUGGGCCGGCAGCUGCGGCAUACCAGCAAGCACAUGCCCCCCAUGUUUGACCUCGAAUCAGGUAGGAGCACCCGCUGAACUUAAGCAUAUCAAUAAGCGGAGGAAA
rnacentral:rRNA from 1 species